rnacentral:rRNA from 1 species
GCCCCCGGGCCGAAAAAGCCGGGAUUAAUACCGCAUACGAUCCACGGAUGAAAGCGGGGGACCUUCGGGCCUCGCGCUAUAGGGUUGGCCGAUGGCUGAUUAGCUAGUUGGUGGGGUAAAGGCCUACCAAGGCGACGAUCAGUAGCUGGUCUGAGAGGACGACCAGCCACACUGGGACUGAGACACGGCCCAGACUCCUACGGGAGGCAGCAGUGGGGAAUUUUGGACAAUGGGCGAAAGCCUGAUCCAGCAAUGCCGCGUGUGUGAAGAAGGCCUUCGGGUUGUAAAGCACUUUUGUCCGGAAAGAAAUCCUUGGCUCUAAUACAGUCGGGGGAUGACGGUACCGGAAGAAUAAGCACCGGCUAACUACGUGCCAGCAGCCGCGGUAAUACGUAGGGUGCGAGCGUUAAUCGGAAUUACUGGGGCGUAAAGCGUGCGCAGGCGGUUUGCUAAGACCGAUGUGAAAUCCCCGGGCUCAACCUGGGAACUGCAUUGGUGACUGGCAGGCUAGAGUAUGGCAGAGGGGGGGUAGAAUUCCACGUGUAGCAGUGAAUGCGUAGAGAUGUGGAGGAUUACCGAUGGCGAAGGCAGCCCCCUGGGCCAAUACUUGACGCUCAUUGCACGAAAAGCGGGGAGCAAACAGGAUUAGAUACCCUGGUAGUCCACGCCCUAAACGAUGUCAACUAGUUGUUGGGGAUUCAUUUCCUUAGUAACGUAGCUAACGCGUGAAGUUGACCGCCUGGGGAGUACGGUCGCAAGAUUAAAACUCAAAGGAAUUGACGGGGACCCGCACAAGCGGUGGAUGAUGUGGAUUAAUUCGAUGCAACGCGAAAAACCUUACCUACCCUUGACAUGGUCGGAAUCCUGCUGAGAGGUGGGAGUGCUCGAAAGAGAACCGGCGCACAGGUGCUGCAUGGCUGUCGUCAGCUCGUGUCGUGAGAUGUUGGGUUAAGUCCCGCAACGAGCGCAACCCUUGUCCUUAGUUGCUACGCAAGAGCACUCUAAGGAGACUGCCGGUGACAAACCGGAGGAAGGUGGGGAUGACGUCAAGUCCUCAUGGCCCUUAUGGGUAGGGCUUCACACGUCAUACAAUGGUUCGGAACAGAGGGUUG